rnacentral:lncRNA from 1 species
UAAGAAAGUGUGAGGGAUAGCUAUGUAAAAUACUUGGUUAAAUUUAAAGAGCUUUUAACUAAAAAGUUAUAAGUGAGGAUCCAAUCUAUGGUUUUUGGCUUGUUUUGGCUUAAAAGCACUUAUGGUGUUUGCCAAACAUCAAAAGAAGUAGAAAAGUACGUUUAAGCUGGUUUAACCUUGAGUCAAUCUAAACACCCUUUUCAGCAAGUCUUCCAGUAAAUCGACGACUGGAGUCUGGCCGUCCUGAGUAAUAAGCACUACUAAACCUUCUGCUAAAAAACAAUUGAGAAGCAUAGAAGGAAAGUCGGU